GCCUCUUCCAGAAACGCGACCAUCGUCUUUCAUCUCACAGAAACACCUCCCCGAACGCGGCCCGCUUCUCAGCAGCUUCCUCUAACAACAGCCGGAGCGCAAUGGAAAGCCGGAGGCACAAACCGACACCUCCAGCAGAAGAACGCAGUCAACCUGUGCCCAGGAAAACACCUUCAUUCUACAUAAACAAAGUGAAUCAUCUUGCUUCACAACAACCUGUCAGUCCAUCAUGUACCAACCUUUGUGGUGUACACUGCUGGUAAUCUUUAUCAAGAUCAGCUUGGCUUGAGACGUUUGUGAAUCUGUAGAGGCUACUGCUACUGUCCUCGAACACAGAGCGUUUGUCUUUUCCGA